UACGUAGGGAGCAAGCGUUGUCCGGAAUCAUUGGGCGUAAAGCGCGCGUAGGCGGCCCUGUAAGUCCGUUGUGAAAGUCAAAGGCUCAACCUUUGAAAGCCGAUGGAUACUGCAGGGCUAGAGUCCGGAAGAGGCGAGUGGAAUUCCUGGUGUAGCGGUGGAAUGCGCAGAUAUCAGGAGGAACACCGGUGGCGAAGGCGGGAUCCUGGGCCAGUACUGACGCUGAGGAGCGAAAGCGUGGGGAGCAAACAGG
rnacentral:rRNA from 1 species